CUUCCUGUCAGGACAGUCUCAAACAAGCUUGAAAAACCACGGAGAUAGGUGACAAAUAAUACAUUUUGGGAAACAAAAGAUCAGCACCUGGGGCCUUAAGACCAAAGCAGAGCUGUUAUCAACCAUUCAGCCAAGAUCAGAAGAGAGCACUGGCUGCAGUGUCACUGGCAGGCAGGUACACUGCCUCCUGUUCCCUAGGAGGAUGCAGGCUCUCCAAAGGCAGUGCUGUGUCAGGAUGUGCUGGGUUCCCAGAUGUAUGAGCUCUGUGCACAACGAUCAAGCUCCCUCUCAGGACCCCCCGGUCAAUGCCCCACAAGCCUUGGCUCCUUGCACAAGGAUUGUCCUUCAUCUUCUUGGAAGAGCACCUGAAUUAACAGAUAGUGUAUGUACAGCUCUGGGGCUCCCACAAUCUGCAGCCUAAUCCUGGUGCUAUCAGUCCAGUUCUGUUUUAAUAAGCAAUACAUGGAUUUUCCUGUUUUGCUCGUGAUGGUGACUGAUAUUCGUUGCUACAAAAAGCCCCUUUGCAGAGGCUGAACCAGCCUUGGGGGCGACUCCAGGCCCGGCCCCUCGGGUCCCUGCUCACC